AGAGUUUGAUCAUGGCUCAGAUUGAACGCUGGCGGCAGGCCUAACACAUGCAAGUCGAGCGGUAGCACAGAGAGCUUGCUCUCGGGUGACGAGCGGCGGACGGGUGAGUAAUGUCUGGGAAACUGCCUGAUGGAGGGGGAUAACUACUGGAAACGGUAGCUAAUACCGCAUAACGUCGCAAGACCAAAGUGGGGGACCUUCGGGCCUCAUGCCAUCAGAUGUGCCCAGAUGGGAUUAGCUAGUAGGUGGGGUAACGGCUCACCUAGGCGACGAUCCCUAGCUGGUCUGAGAGGAUGACCAGCCACACUGGAACUGAGACACGGUCCAGACUCCUACGGGAGGCAGCAGUGGGGAAUAUUGCACAAUGGGCGCAAGCCUGAUGCAGCCAUGCCGCGUGUGUGAAGAAGGCCUUCGGGUUGUAAAGCACUUUCAGCGGGGAGGAAGGCGGUGAGGUUAAUAACCUCAUCGAUUGACGUUACCCGCAGAAGAAGCACCGGCUAACUCCGUGCCAGCAGCCGCGGUAAUACGGAGGGUGCAAGCGUUAAUCGGAAUUACUGGGCGUAAAGCGCACGCAGGCGGUCUGUCAAGUCGGAUGUGAAAUCCCCGGGCUCAACCUGGGAACUGCAUUCGAAACUGGCAGGCUAGAGUCUUGUAGAGGGGGGUAGAAUUCCAGGUGUAGCGGUGAAAUGCGUAGAGAUCUGGAGGAAUACCGGUGGCGAAGGCGGCCCCCUGGACAAAGACUGACGCUCAGGUGCGAAAGCGUGGGGAGCAAACAGGAUUAGAUACCCUGGUAGUCCACGCCGUAAACGAUGUCGAUUUGGAGGUUGUGCCCUUGAGGCGUGGCUUCCGGAGCUAACGCGUUAAAUCGACCGCCUGGGGAGUACGGCCGCAAGGUUAAAACUCAAAUGAAUUGACGGGGGCCCGCACAAGCGGUGGAGCAUGUGGUUUAAUUCGAUGCAACGCGAAGAACCUUACCUGGUCUUGACAUCCACAGAACUUNNNNNNNNNNNNNNNNNNUUGGUGCCUUCGGGAACUGUGAGACAGGUGCUGCAUGGCUGUCGUCAGCUCGUGUUGUGAAAUGUUGGGUUAAGUCCCGCAACGAGCGCAACCCUUAUCCUUUGUUGCCAGCGGUUAGGCCGGGAACUCAAAGGAGACUGCCAGUGAUAAACUGGAGGAAGGUGGGGAUGACGUCAAGUCAUCAUGGCCCUUACGACCAGGGCUACACACGUGCUACAAUGGCAUAUACAAAGAGAAGCGACCUCGCGAGAGCAAGCGGACCUCAUAAAGUAUGUCGUAGUCCGGAUUGGAGUCUGCAACUCGACUCCAUGAAGUCGGAAUCGCUAGUAAUCGUAGAUCAGAAUGCUACGGUGAAUACGUUCCCGGGCCUUGUACACACCGCCCGUCACACCAUGGGAGUGGGUUGCAAAAGAAGUAGGUAGCUUAACCUUCGGGAGGGCGCUUACCACUUUGUGAUUCAUGACUGGGGUGAAGUCGUAACAAGGUAACCGUAGGGGAACCUGCGGUUGGAUCACCU
rnacentral:rRNA from 1 species